UUUUCAACAAUCAAAAGUCUCAGUUUGUUACCAGAUGUACAGAAGCUUGGGUAGAACGUCCAUGCUGUCAAAACAUGAAGCUAAGCUAACUAUCAACUACUCUCAGAUUAAUCAGUAACCAUUAAGAGUAGUAAAAAGCAGUGUUUGGGAUUUAUUUAGGGUUUAGAAAUGAGAUGUUGCAAACACAGGUGACUGUGAGUUAUAGCUCAUAUGCACUCUUUGUUUUGAAAAAUAUCGCACAUGUUUAUUUACAAAAAAUGUUCUUACAUCGUGCAGGCGUGCACGUAUAAACACUUUUUUCGGUUAUGAUUUUGUGAGAUUUCACAACAAGGUGUGACUCAAACGAAAGGCCCCGCCCCCCCAGGUGAAAUGUGUUGUUUUUAUGAGAGCCUAUUGGACACAGGAGAAACUCUGAUGUCAUUUCCUCCCCGCGUAUCUAACAAGAGUUAGCUCACUGAAUGUUCACUCUUUGACUCUUCCUGAAUGAGGAUGAACCCCGGCAUCAUCACCUGGACUUUCUUUCUGCUCUGGGCUGCAGAUGUUUCUCAGUCUGUGCUGAUCACUCAGUGGCCCCAAAUCAUCUCAAGACAUCCCAACGGCUCAGCUGAGAUGCACUGUUACCAGAAUGAGACAGAUUAUCCAUAUCUGUACUGGUAUCGACAGCUAAGAGGACAAAGUUUCCAGUUAAUGGUGAUGGUAUCAGCUGGCUCUGCAACCUUUGAAGAGGAUUUCAAAUCUGGUUACCAGGCGGUGAGACAGAAGAAGGAGGAGAAGCAGUGGUCUCUGUCGAUAGAGAGCGUUCAGAGGAAAGACGAGGCGGUUUAUCUGUGUGCUGCUAGUCUACACGGUGCUGUGGCACACCUCAGACCUGUGACAAGAACAUACUGCAGGGAAGCUCUUUGUUGUUCUGACACUUGACUCACACUGAGAGUAAUCAAAUGAAGGAAAACACAUGGAGGAGGAUAAUACCUGAGACUUAGAUUACAUAUUUUGAUCUUUAAAUUAAAGGUUAUUCUAAUUCAUCAA